rnacentral:rRNA from 1 species
AAUGAAUAAUGAUAUGACUGAGUGGCGGACGGGUGAGUAACGCGUGAGCAACCUGCCCUUCGGAGGGGGACAACAGUUGGAAACGACUGCUAAUACCGCAUGACACAUUGGGGUCGCAUGGCCUUGAUGUCAAAGAUUUAUCGCUGAAAGAUGGCCUCGCGUCUGAUUAGAUAGUUGGUGAGGUAACGGCCCACCUAGUCAACGAUGGAUAGGGGUUCUGAGAGGAAGGUCCCCACAUUGGAACUGAGACACGGUCCAUACUCC